GAUGAACGCUGGCGGCGUGCCUAAUACAUGCAAGUCGAGCGAACGGACGAGAAGCUUGCUUUUCUGAUGUUAGCGGCGGACGGGUGAGUAACACGUGGAUAACCUACCUAUAAGACUGGGAUAACUUCGGGAAACCGGAGCUAAUACCGGAUAAUAUUUUGAACCGCAUGGUUCAUAAGUGAAAGACGGUCUUGCUGUCACUUAUAGAUGGAUCCGCGCUGCAUUAGCUAGUUGGUAAGGUCACGGCUUACCAAGGCAACGAUGCAUAGCCGACCUGAGAGGCGGAUAGGCCACACUGGAACUGAGACACGCUCCAUACUCCUACGGGAGGCAGCAGUAGGGAAUCUGCCGCAAUGGGCGAAAGCCUGACGGAGCAACGCCGCGUGAGUGAUGAAGGUCUUCGGAUCGUAAAAAUCUGUUAUUAGGGAAGAACAUAUGUGUAAGUAACUGUGCACAUCUUGACGGUACCUAAUCAGAAAGCCACGGCUAACUACGUG
rnacentral:rRNA from 1 species